AUUGAACGCUGGCGGCAUGCCUUACACAUGCAAGUCGAACGGUAACAGGUCUUCGGAUGCUGUCGAGUGGCGAACGGGUGAGUAAUACAUCGGAACGUGCCUAGUAGUGGGGGAUAACUACUCGAAAGAGUGGCUAAUACCGCAUGAGAUCUACGGAUGAAAGCAGGGGAUCGCAAGCCCUUGCUCUACUAGAGCGGCCGAUGGCAGAUUAGGUAGUUGGUGGGAUAAAAGCUUACCAAGCCGACGAUCUGUAGCUGGUCUGAGAGGACGAUCAGCCACACUGGGACUGAGACACGGCCCAGACUCCUACGGGAGGCAGCAGUGGGGAAUUUUGGACAAUGGGCGCAAGCCUGAUCCAGCAAUGCCGCGUGCAGGAUGAAGGCCUUCGGGUUGUAAACUGCUUUUGUACGGAACGAAAAGCCCUGGGCUAAUACCCUGGGGUCAUGACGGUACCGUAAGAAUAAGCACCGGCUAACUACGUGCCAGCCGCCGCGGUAA
rnacentral:rRNA from 1 species